rnacentral:rRNA from 1 species
AUUGAACGCUGGCGGCAUGCCUAACACAUGCAAGUCGAACGGCAGCGCGGGGGCAACCCUGGCGGCGAGUGGCGGACGGGUGAGGAAUGCAUAGGAAUCUGCCCGGUUGUGGGGGAUAACGUAGGGAAACUUACGCUAAUACCGCAUACGACCUUCGGGUGAAAGUGGGGGACCUUCGGGCCUCACGCGAUCGGAUGAGCCUAUGCCCGAUUAGCUAGUUGGCGGGGUAAGAGCCCACCAAGGCGACGAUCGGUAGCUGGUCUGAGAGGAUGAUCAGCCACACUGGGACUGAGACACGGCCCAGACUCCUACGGGAGGCAGCAGUGGGGAAUAUUGGACAAUGGGCGCAAGCCUGAUCCAGCAAUGCCGCGUGUGUGAAGAAGGCCUUCGGGUUGUAAAGCACUUUUGUUCGGGAAGAAAUCCGUGUGGUUAAUACCCGUACGGGAUGACGGUACCGAAAGAAUAAACACCGGCGAACUUCGU